rnacentral:rRNA from 1 species
AUACGUAUGGAGCAAGCGUUAUCCGGAUUUACUGGGUGUAAAGGGAGCGUAGACGGCAUAGCAAGUCUGAAGUGAAAUCCCAUGGCUUAACCAUGGAACUGCUUUGGAAACUGCCAGGCUAGAGUGCAGGAGAGGUAAGCGGGAUUCCUAGUGUAGCGGUGAAAUGCGUAGAUAUUAGGAGGAACACCAGUGGCGAAGGCGGCUUACUGGACUGUAACUGACGUUGAGGCUCGAAAGCGUGGGGAGCAAACAGGAUUAGAUACCCUGGUAGUCCACGCUGUAAACGAUGAUUACUAGGUGUUGGGGACCAAAGGUCCUCGGUGCCGCCGCAAACGCAUUAAGUAAUCCACCUGGGGAGUACGUUCGCAAGAAUGAAACUCAAAGGAAUUGACGGGG